AGAGUUUGAUCCUGGCUCAGGAUGAACGCUAGCGGCAGGCUUAACACAUGCAAGUCGAGGGGCAGCGGGGAGGAAGCUUGCUUUCUCCGCCGGCGACCGGCGCACGGGUGAGUAACACGUAUGCAACCUGCCCCUGUCAGGGGGACAACCCGCCGAAAGGCGGGCUAAACCCGCGUACAUGCCACCGGGGCAUCCCGGAGGCAGGAAAGGCUUCGGCCGGACAGGGAUGGGCAUGCGGCGCAUUAGGCAGUAGGCGGGGUAACGGCCCACCUAACCGACGAUGCGUAGGGGUUCUGAGAGGAAGGUCCCCCACACUGGUACUGAGACACGGACCAGACUCCUACGGGAGGCAGCAGUGAGGAAUAUUGGUCAAUGGUCGGGAGACUGAACCAGCCAAGCCGCGUGAGGGAGGAAGGUACAGAGUAUCGUAAACCUCUUUUGUCAGGGAACAAAGGCGGGGACGUGUCCCCGGAUGAGUGUACCUGAAGAAAAAGCAUCGGCUAACUCCGUGCCAGCAGCCGCGGUAAUACGGAGGAUGCGAGCGUUAUCCGGAUUUAUUGGGUUUAAAGGGUGCGCAGGCGGUCUGUUAAGUCAGCGGUCAAAGCCCGGGGCUCAACCCCGGCCCGCCGUUGAAACUGGCAGUCUCGAGUUGGAGAGAAGUAUGCGGAAUGCGCGGUGUAGCGGUGAAAUGCAUAGAUAUCGCGCAGAACUCCGAUUGCGAAGGCAGCAUGCCGGCUCCACACUGACGCUGAGGCACGAAAGCGUGGGUAUCGAACAGGAUUAGAUACCCUGGUAGUCCACGCAGUAAACGAUGAAUGCUGGCUGUCCGGGGGGACUGACCCCUGGGUGGCGAAGCGAAAGCGAUAAGCAUUCCACCUGGGGAGUACGCCGGCAACGGUGAAACUCAAAGGAAUUGACGGGGGCCCGCACAAGCGGAGGAACAUGUGGUUUAAUUCGAUGAUACGCGAGGAACCUUACCCGGGCUCAAACGGGGAGUGGCGCAGGCAGAGACGCCUGUUUCCCACGGGACACUCCCCGAGGUGCUGCAUGGUUGUCGUCAGCUCGUGCCGUGAGGUGUCGGCUUAAGUGCCAUAACGAGCGCAACCCCCGCGUGCAGUUGCUAACAGAUAACGCUGAGGACUCUGCACGGACUGCCGGCGCAAGCCGCGAGGAAGGCGGGGAUGACGUCAAAUCAGCACGGCCCUUACGUCCGGGGCGACACACGUGUUACAAUGGGUGGUACAGCGGGAAGCCAGGCGGCGACGCCGAGCGGAACCCGAAAUCCACUCUCAGUUCGGAUCGGAGUCCGCAACCCGACUCCGUGAAGCUGGAUUCGCUAGUAAUCGCGCAUCAGCCAUGGCGCGGUGAAUACGUUCCCGGGCCUUGCACACACCGCCCGUCAAG
rnacentral:rRNA from 1 species